UAGCAAUAUUCUGUAGUUGGAGCGGCGCAAGGGUGCGUAACACGUGGGUAAUCUGCCAUGAAGUUUGGGAUAACUCGCUGAAAGGCGAGCUAAUACCGGAUGUGACGAUUGGAAGGCAUCUUCUGAUCUUCAAAGUUGGGGACCGUAAGGCCUGACGCUUCAUGAUGAGCCCGCGGCCUAUCAGCUAGUUGGUGAGGUAACGGCUCACCAAGGCUAAGACGGGUAGCUGGUCUGAGAGGACGACCAGCCACACUGGAACUGAGACACGGUCCAGACACCUACGGGUGGCAGCAGUCGAGAAUUUUUCACAAUGGGGGAAACCCUGAUGGAGCGACGCCGCGUGGGGGAUGAAUGGCUUCGGCCCGUAAACCCCUGUCAUUCGCGAACAAUGCCUGUGUAUUAACACCAUACAGGUUGAUAGUAGCGGAAGAGGAAGGGACGGCUAACUCUGUGCCAGCAGCCGCGGUAAUACAGAGGUCCCAAGCGUUGUUCGGAUUCACUGGGCGUAAAGGGUGCGUAGGCGGUCGGGUAAGUCUGAUGUGAAAUCUCACAGCUUAACUGUGAAACUGCAUUGGAUACUAUUCGGCUUGAGGUCUGGAGGGGGGACUGGAAUUCACGGUGUAGCA
rnacentral:rRNA from 1 species